rnacentral:misc_RNA from 1 species
GUAGGUGAACCUGCGGAAGGAUCAUUAACACGUAUCCAACGUUAAAACCCCCUGUGAACCUUUAGCGUGCUCUUGCAGCCCAUGAAAGCAGCAAUCCCUGGUAAAUCAUUGACGACCAGUAAUUGAGUCAGGGACCUCUGCCGAUGAGAAGUUACAGUUGCAAUUGAGCGCUUGCUCAAGUGACCUGGCACUCCCAAGCAGUCGGUGUGUGAAAGUGACAUUGAUUGUGUAAGAGUGGCGCAGUAAACGAUCGCUAGAGGCCCACACGGCCGGCGACUGGGUCACCGGGCUCACGCCCCUUAAUAACCCCAAAUGUGUCGAAAAGCUGGGCAGAGAAAUCCCCCAGCACCAAAACCCGAACAACUGUUAACAAUGGAUAUCUUGGUUCUC